GUGGAGUUGUCUCUCUCUGUGGGGUGUUUCAGGGUCAGACUGAGGUCUCCAGGUUCCACAUCUUUAGGCAGACAAACUGUGGUUUUGCAGAUCAGCUGGACAGACUCCACCCCUGAAUCCACCACCAACCAGGGGACUGAGAGGACAACAAAGCACAAGAUGAGCUGUAGUGAAGUUACUAAUGGUCUCCUUAUGUCCUGUUACAGUGGACGUAUUUCUGUGCUUGACCUAUUAGAACUCAGUGUAGACCACAACAUUUUCCUACAAAGACUGGAACACACCAGAGUUAUUAAAGGAAAUUGACUGCAGUGGUUUGAAUUAUAUGUAUCUUAUAAUUCCAGUAUAAUUCCUUAUUCCCAUUCCUUAUAAUUCCAGGACUUAGCCAAAAAAAAGCCCUGCAAGUUACAAGUACGAAUUUUGACCCUAUUUUUCUUCCUGUCAUCUGAUUGGUCAAUGUCAUGUCAAUCACAAAUGUAACAAUCCAAUCAGAGAACAGAUGGGUUUGGCUGUCGGAGGGGCACUUUUUUGAACUGCAGGUCCUUGAAGGGUAAUACAGUUUGAAGCUGGAGGAUCUCUAUAUAAAUAUCCGAUAGCAGCUAGGUCCGCUAACUUUCAGCAGCUGUUGAAAGGAUAAAGUUGUGGUAUAUCAGUGGUUAGAAAUACCAUUAUUACUUUAGGAGUAGUUUAACACAAAGUCAGGGCUGACCCGGGACCAUUGCUGUGAGUCACAGUGCGCAGCAUAAAAGUCCUUUCACAUCGGACGCAGGAUGUGCUGCUAAUGCUAACUGCUAACUAAAAGCAAAGGAUCCAGAAUUUGUUGCGCUGGCUGCUGAGCUCUGUGGGUUUUUGCAGCAGCUCUACCUGUACUAGAUGCACCUACUCCUUGUCGUUUCUAUCUCUGACUUUAUGUCCUCUACAAGAGUUUCUGGUUUUUUUGCUAGUUCUUCAAAUGAUCAAUAAAAACAUGUAUGCUAAUUCAUAACGAAGAAAGCUUUGUAAUGAAGACUGUCAUUUCCAAAACACUGCCCCCCCCCGCGGUCCGCAGCGCUGUAUUAAACACGUAGACCUGUGACACAAAAAUCACCAAACUCGGACGACCACAGACUGUUUUCCUUCAUAGUGAUGAAGGAAAACGCUGGGUUGGCAUGUAAAAGGGCAUUUAUUCCCUUCAAAGACCUGCAGUUCAAAAAAGUGCCCCUCCGACAGCCAAACCCAUCUGUUCUCUGAUUGGAUUGUUACAUUUGUAAUUGACAUGACAUUGACCAAUCAGAUGAAAGGAAGAAAAAUAGGGUCAAAAUUCGUACUUGUAACUUGCAGGGGGGUUUUUGGCUAAGUCCACACACAAAUCUUUUUUACACACGCACAAAUUCUUUUUACACAUACAAAUCUUUUUUACACACACACAAAUUCUUUUUACACAUACAAAUCCUGAUUUACAAGUACAAAACUGAUUUACAAGUACAAAACAUUUAUGACCACAUUUUGAGCCCAUAGGAUGACUUUCUGAAAACAGUAUUUCUUAUACCUCAGCAGUAUAAUGCAUCAUAAAACAAUAUCAUUCAUUCACAAUAAAUCAGCAGUCUAAUGUAAUACAAAUCAGUUUAAUAAAUCUAAUAGUUAUCACCUCUUCAUAGUCAGGAGAAUAAUGCAAACUAAAACUACAUAAUAAUUUCACAAUCUUUAAUUAGGGUUAUAACAUGGCAUAAGAUAAUAUAAUAAUCUCACAGUUUACUACCAUAUUUUUUUAUCACCACACAGUAAAUAUUAAAUAAUAUGUAAAGUGUCCAUUUAUCCUCCAUUCCUGGUCCAUUAUCUUAAGCUUAGGCUGCUGCCCCCCAUGACCCAAUCCGAUACUAAGUAGAGAGACCCAGACUUCGCUCUCUCCAGGCACUUGGCCCAGCUCCUCCGGGGGAAUCCCAAGGCAUUCCCAGGCCAGCCGAAAAACAUAGU
ensembl:lncRNA